AGUUGGUCGGGCAGCCGCGCUUUUCCAAUGCCGAAAGGCGGGAAGUGAGGAAAGUCCGGGCUCCACGGAAUAACGGUGCCGGAUAACGUCCGGCGGGGGCGACCCUAGGGAAAGUGCCACAGAAAACAAACCGCCCAGUCAAUGGGUAAGGGUGAAAAGGCGGGGUAAGAGCCCACCGCAUAACCAGUAAUGGUUGUGGCAAGGUAAACCCCACCGGGAGCAAGACCGAAUAGGAAUGACGCGCAAACUCGUUUUGCAGCCAUAUUCCAGGCGUGUCAUUCGGGUAGGUUGCAAGAGGCGGUUGGUAACAAUCGUCCCAGAUGAAUGGUUGCCACGCGAAAUGCAUAUUUCGCCAUACAGAACCCGGCUUACAGACCAACUG
rnacentral:RNase_P_RNA from 1 species